AGUGAACGCUGGCGGUAGGCCUAACACAUGCAAGUCGAACGGCAGCACAGUAAGAGCUUGCUCUUACGGGUGGCGAGUGGCGGACGGGUGAGGAAUACAUCGGAAUCUACUUUUUCGUGGGGGAUAACGUAGGGAAACUUACGCUAAUACCGCAUACGACCUACGGGUGAAAGCAGGGGAUCUUCGGACCUUGCGCGAUUGAAUGAGCCGAUGUCGGAUUAGCUAGUUGGCGGGGUAAAGGCCCACCAAGGCGACGAUCCGUAGCUGGUCUGAGAGGAUGAUCAGACACACUGGAACUGAGACACGGUCCAGACUCCUACGGGAGGCAGCAGUGGGGAAUAUUGGACAAUGGGCGCAAGCCUGAUCCAGCCAUACCGCGUGAGUGAAGAAGGCCUUCGGGUUGUAAAGCCCUUUUGUUGGGAAAGAAAAGCAGCAGGUUAAAACCCCGCUGUUCUGACGGUACCUAAAGAAUAAGCAACGGCUAACUUCGUG
rnacentral:rRNA from 1 species